GCCCCGUGCCCCUGAGGGACAGGUGUUCUGUGUGGCGUGCUGACGGCAGCGUUCUGUGGAUAUGCACGCGGUCGUGUCUGCUCACAUCUGGGUCUCUACUGGCUCUGUCUCAUGGUUCCAGCGGUUACUGAGGGAGGACCGCGGAGAAGGCCUGUCCCCAUGUGGAUGUGACCUUACAUGGAACAGUUGUCUCUGUGGAUAUGAGUACAUUAGGCAUCCUGGGGGGGGGGGUGUUUCUGGAUCACCUGCUGGGCUCUAUACGGAGCUGCAGGGGUCUUCAGAGCGGAGAAGCAGUGGGAUAUUUGACACCAAAGGAAGAAUUUGCCUGUGGGGGGUUUGAAGGUGCUUUGCUUCUGCCUCUGAAGAAGGAGGAAGGGCCACGAAGGGAGGAAUGCCGCCCUAGAAGCAGAUUUGUGGAGUGCCUGUGUGUGCCCACAGGAACCCCCGCCGACCGGAGGCCUGCACCUGCCGCUUGGGGUCGGACACGUCAGGACGCGAUGGGGUAUUACAAAUGCUACUGUCUAUGGAGGAGACGCUACGAGGAAGACACAGAAAGUGGGGAGCACCUCCAGGUCUAUGUUGGAAGGGAAAGCCCACCCGAGAAGGUGACCUGUGAGCAGAGGGGGCAGCGACUGAGUGCAGCGGGGGCAGGGCGGGCGCAGUAAGCUAGCUGGGUCUGAGGCCCCCCCAUGAGGUGGGGGCAGAGCACGGACACAGCCUUGCGAGCUUGCGUUCCGCUUUCGUGCAUGAAGGACUAGAUUAGAGUCUUGUGUUCGUUUCUUCUUCUGGCCUUUGUUGGUGCUGGUCCGUGUUCUGUGUCCCACAUGGUUUCUGACGAGAAGUCGCCUCUCCCCGACUGUUCGGGUUCCAACGGGUCACGCGAGACCGUUUGUCAGCAGUUGUAUCUGGGGGCGCUUUUCCCUGUGCUGCUUCUGCUGGAGGGUUCUGGAGUUCUAGAAUCUACCAGGUCACGUCUCAUGCCAAAUACGGGAUUUUUUCCAUCCACGAUUUCUUUAAAUGUGUCCCCACGUCCCUCCGUCCCCUGCCUUGAAGCUGCAGUUGGUAGUGGGCCUGCGCUUCCCUCACAUGGAUUCCUCAUGUGCUGCUCGCGUCCCCCGGUCUUUCUCGUCUUUGGUUUUUAGGCCGGACAGUCUCUACAGAUCGGUUUUCGAGCUCACCGACCGCCUGCGUCUCCACGCUGCCGUGAAGACCGUCCAGGGGUUUUCAUCUGACGUGUGUGCGGUGAGUUCUGGGAUUUCUGUUUGUUUCCUUUCACAGCUGCUCCAUGUCCUCAGAGCCACCCUUGUCUUCGUUCCUCCGUGCCCUCGAACACGAGCCUUGGCCACAGGGCUUGGAUAUCUGGUGAGGUGACUCCAGCACGGGCGUUCUCAGCGUGGGCUUGUCCUCUGCGUAUUUGCUGGUGGGGUUGUAUCCAGGACACCGUGAGUGGCGUGAUUUAGAGUCUGGAUCCUAUCUCGUUCCUCUGGA